rnacentral:rRNA from 1 species
GUAUAACCGUUAUACUGGGAAACUGCGAAUGGCUCAUUAAAUCAGUUAUAGUUUAUUUGAUGGUACCUUACUACUCGGAUAACCGUAGUAAUUCUAGAGCUAAUACGUGCGUAAAUCCCGACUUCGGAAGGGACGUAUUUAUUAGAUUAAAGACCAACCCUUCGGGACCGUUGGUGAUUCAUAAUAACUGGACGAAUCGCAUGGGCUUGCCCCGGCGAUGUUUCAUUCAAAUUUCUGCCCUAUCACGUUUCGAUGGUAGUAUAGAGGACUACCAUGCGAGUAACGGGUGACGGAGAAUUAGGGUUCGAUUCCGGAGAGGGAGCCUGAGAAACGGCUACCACAUCCAAGGAAGGCAGCAGGCGCGCAAACUACCCAAUCCUGACACAGGGAGGUAGUGACAAUAAAUAACAAUACCGGGCUUUUUCAAGUCUGGUAAUUGGAAUGAGAACAAUCUAAAUCCCUUAUCGAGGAUCAAUUGGAGGGCAAGUCUGGUGCCAGCAGCCGCGGUAAUUCCAGCUCCAAUAGCGUAUAUUUAAGUUGUUGCAGUUAAAAAGCUCGUAGUUGGAUUUCGGGCGUGGAAGUUCGGUCCGCCGUUUCGGUGUGCACUGUUGUUCUGCGUCUUUCUGCCGGGGACGCGCUUCUGGCCUUAAUUGGCUGGGACGUGGAUUCGGCGUGGUUACUUUGAAAAAAUUAGAGUGUUCAAAGCAAGCUAAAGCUCUGAAUACAUUAGCAUGGAAUAACGCGAGAGGACUCGGUCCUUAUUUUGUUGGUCUUCAAGGAUGGAGUAAUGAUUAAGAGGGACGGUUGGGGGCAUUCGUAUUUCAUUGUCAGAGGUGAAAUUCUUGGAUUUAUGAAAGACGAACUACUGCGAAAGCUUCUGCCAAAGACGUUUUCAUUGAU